CCAUUCUAUGUCCCCCCCCAGGGUUACAUCGAGUCCAUGAAGCUGAUCCUGGGGGGCUCCUUGAGCCGCGUGGGGGCGCUCAGUGAGUGCCCCUUCCAGGGGGAUGAGUCCAUCCACAGCACAGUCACCAACGUGCUGGCGUCCGUCCUGGGGGAGCACACGAAGGCUUUGGUGACGCAGCUGACCCUGUCAACGCUCCUGACGGACCUGAGGGAGGAACAUCAGGGACCAGU